rnacentral:rRNA from 1 species
CUUGAGGUUGCCGCUUGGGACUCCCUCCUUCAGGAUAUCGCUCUUCUUUCGAUGGACGUCGAGGGUGCCCCCGACUCCAUCUCUUGACGUCUGAAGCCUUCCGACCGCUUCUCCACCAAGUCUUUAUACGUGGUCAUCGCACUCUUGUCGGCUCCUGAGCCCUUUAGCCUGAUCUGGGACAUUCGCCUCCCCCUAAAGAUCAGGAUCUUCAUGUGGCAGUGGAUCCGGGGACGCCUUCCUUCUAGGGUUGAGGUCCUCAAGCGUAAUGGAACAGGCGAUGGGAUUUGUCCCUUGUGCGGCACGGUGGAGGAUACUAACCACAUCUUCUUCUCCUGCUCCACAACCCAAUUCCUAUGGUCAUGUUUUCGUGAGACGGUCGAUGGGCAGUGGUGCAACACCAACUUUCCCGACUUGCUUGCGGAGAUCCACGCCUCCCCCCCCCCUCGCUACCGCCAUAUUAGAUGCUAUGCGUUGGGGUCCUCGCCUGGAUGCUUUGGACUAUCCGCAACAAGCUUGUUAUUCAGAAAGUACCUCUUCGACGUGCGACUGGCGCGAUCUUCAAAAUGUAUGGUUACUUGCAGCUUUGGCGGCCGCUUAGCCAUCCCCAGGACCGGGACGCCAUCAACACCCUCCGGCCGACCUUCGCUCAAUGGCCUUCUGCGUGGCGCCACCAUUGCCGUCCCCUCCUCCGGAGCCCGAUUAGACCUGUUGCACGGGUUGCUGUGUGUGUGUGUGUGUUGUUGUGUUUCCGGGGCUUGUUGA